rnacentral:rRNA from 1 species
CAGUAGCCGCGGUAAUACGGAGGGUGCAAGCGUUAAUCGGAAUUACUGGGCGUAAAGCGCACGCAGGCGGUCUGACAAGUCAGAUGUGAAAUCCCCGGGCUUAACCUGGGAACUGCAUUUGAAACUGUCAGGCUGGAGUCUUGUAGAGGGGGGUAGAAUUCCAGGUGUAGCGGUGAAAUGCGUAGAGAUCUGGAGGAAUACCGGUGGCGAAGGCGGCCCCCUGGACAAAGACUGACGCUCAGGUGCGAAAGCGUGGGGAGCAAACAGGAUUAGAUACCCGCGUAGUCCCUGUCUCUUAUAU